UCGGAUAUGGUGUAAUGGUUAACAUUACCGCCUCUCAAACUUAGUGUUCGCGGUAGCUCGGGGUUCGAUUCCCCGUAUCCGAA